rnacentral:lncRNA from 1 species
ACUGGGAAGGAACCGCGCUUGGAGUCCAGACAUCUGGAAUACGGAAGAGGAAGAGACACCAGGAGUACUCAUUCAAGAAAAGGCCAUGUGAGGACACAGGGAGAAGGCGGCCAUCUCCAAGCCAGGAAAAGAAGUCUCACUGAAAACCAGCUCUGCUAGCACCUUGAUCUUGGACUUCUCGCCUCCAGAACUAGAUGAGGUCUCACUGUGUUGCCCAGACUGGUCUUCAACUCAUGGGCUCAAGCUAUCCUCCUGCUUCAGCCUCCCAUUGUGCUCGGAUUUACAGCCCAUCUCAGCCUGGUUCAGAACUCUUCCUG